UGAAUAUGGCCUCUAAUAAGUCCAAAAUUAUCUAAUGCAUAUUUUCAUUUUAGCUGAUAAAAAAAAGUCACUCAACGGCUCGAUUGUUCCCUCACUGCCCAACCUUCGUCUUCUUCAACCUCAAAUCCCUCAUUCUCUCUAUUUACCAAAAAAAAAAAAAAUCCCUCAUUCUCUCUGUCCCUCUUCAUCUGGUUGAAGGCUUGAAGCAAAGGCGAAUCGCGGCUCAGCCUUAGGAGCCAGGUAGCAAGCUCUCUCUCUCCCUCUUUGUCUGGUUGAAACCAAGUCGAAUCGUCCUCAGCGGCUCAGCCUCUCAGCCUCAGGUUUAGGUGAUCAGGUCGAGGGCAUUCAGUUUGUACUUGGACUCUAGCUAGACUUGGUGCCGAGGUCUCAGUAUUCAAUAAAGCUAUUGAUUUUUCAGUUCUUGGAAAUGGCGAGGGGUCUAAUAUGGGCAACCACAGAGGACUUGGCGCGUAACAGAGGUAGAGUCCUUUCUCUAUAUCGCCAAUUGCUGAGGAGCCUUAAUUCUCCCAAGUUGCCACUAAACUUAGCAGCGAGAUUGGCCAAGAAAGCAGAGCUCCGUACUACCUUCAUGCUGGGUUCUGAAGAGCAUUCCCUCCACAACAUCGCUGACCUCAUUGAUGCUGCUGAGUACUCUCUCUCCCUUCUAAAGAAAGGUGAAAUCCCCAAAUACAUCCAGUGACUGAGUAUCAUGUCCCUUGAGUAUUGACAAAAGAGGGCAAAAGAUAGAUAGGAGAAGAGAAAUUAGAGCGGAAUAAAAUCCUCUGGAGGAACCAAGUUUCCGGUGGCUUUCCUUCUAUCCUGGACCAGGCGUCUCCAUUGGACAAGUUAGCAUCUCAACAGGAAGAAGAGGAAGAGGAUGAGGAUGAUGAGAAAGGAGGGGGAAAAUCGUUCAUAAAACAAGGAAGCAGGAAAGCCAAUAAAUGAAUUUAAAGCGUAUCCCCUUUUUGUAAUUUUGGGAUUACAGAAAAACCUAAAGCAAAAGGAUACUUGCAGAAUCCUGAAGGCCCGAGAGCUAGUAUUGGCAGAGGACCGCAAGUAGAUUAUUAACCCUUUUGAUAUUGGAAGUGGUUUUAUUGGACUAUACAAUUACCUACAUCAUUGUAGAUGAGAUGAGAUUGAAAUUUUAUGGAUAGAUAGACCAAA